UUAGUGAUUUAGAACUGCUGCCACCGGGGCUAAAAUAAGCAAGAGCUAUUGGCCCGACUGCCACGUUGACUAUAAUGCAUAUGUACUACUUCACUAUAAAUUCUCCAUGCCCAGUCCUCACUCUCUGUUAUCUAGCUGCAUUAUCUAGAGCAGUUGUUACCAUAGCGUUAAGCAGUAUUGUGGCAUAGCUUCCCGUGGGCAAAUCCCGUUAGGAGCCAAAGCCUGACGUAACGCUUGUUGUUGUGUUGAAAGUGAAAUAAAGCCGCAGUCAAAAUAGUCAUCCCAAGAGCGGAUGCCACCGUCCGAACGAACGUCCAUAGGAUUGGACAUGCCUCUUGAUGGCGGUGAGGCUGAAAAACAGAUCAGCUUGGAGACGACGAUGAUCCGCCCGAGCGCCCUGCGACGCAUAGUCUGCCUCAGCCUAUUACGUUACGCAGCAGCAGAGGUCUGAGUCACGUAUCUAGGUGCGGAUAGCCGCCGUUGCGUGCCCGUGCAACGUCGCCACUGUUCCGAUUUCGUUGGCCAGAUUGCUUGCACUUACUUCAAAAUAACGUACGAUUCUGGGUAGAUGAGACAGUGUAGCAAUGUCUCAUUUUUGGAGUUUCGCUCUAUGUUCGCUUUCUCCCGAUAGACGCUAUCGUAUAGCAGAUGCAUCAGCGAAGGAUAUCGCCAUCAGAGCUUGCUUUCCUUGCAAUACCCGGCUGCUGGGACUGACUCGUACAGGUCAGCGCACACAUGAUGUUAUCGGAGCUCGUUCGUAUGCCAGUCAAUAGCGUACAACCCUUUUUCAAACAGUUCCUCGAUUUUGACGUUUGGACAGCUGGAUCUUAGCGUAUUCGUACAGCUUAAUUCUCAUAUCUCGCAACAGAAUCACAAAGUGACCAGCUACGCUUGAUGCGACCUUUUGUCAAACGAUGACACGGCGCCGGAUCACGCAAACUUGGGUUUGAGAAGUUUCGUGUUAUGCUUUCAACUCCGUCGUCACAUCAGGUACGGUGCGUGCGUGAUGAACCCGUUCGUUUUUGUUCGGAGCUAUUAUGUCUAGAGAUUAGAUGUUUCGUAACAGCUUAAUCCCGAACAGCCGUCAUCGAAUGGCCAGCAAGAUGGAAGGAGGUCGUACGACACAAUUCGAGACGACUGGGUUUGCAAUGACGAUUUGCAUUUCCGCGUGAGCGCUCACUGCCACCACCGCCGCUGUCUCCGCGCCAAAAGCCCUUUUCGCUUGUUGAACUUCCAUGUCAGACACGUUUAUAACUUUGCAUUAGGGCUAAGCUAGUGCUUCCGUUGUUGCUUGCUUUACUGCAGCAGGAAUCGUAUGAUUCAAGUGAUAGAUUCGGAGCAUAGGUCGGAUAAUCGGCGAACCACGGCAAGCAGCGAAAGGGCAAAGGAAACGAGGAUGGUAUCUGCGCGAUGAGUCUGAGGAUAUGAGCGGCGGGGGACUGUUCCGGCUGGGAGAGACCUAUUCGGACACGUUAGGACAUGAAGAAUUACCAGCCCAUCUUGGGGAUUGCAUCGAGUUGUUAUUGUUGUUGUAGCAAUAGAAGUCUAUGUGACCAUCACUUUCAUUUGGCAGCUAGUUGCGCUAUAUGAGCGUCUUGAACGUCUAAUAGAGCGAUGAAAGGCGAAUGUAUCAUAAUGGUUGAUACUGAUACUGGCCGAUAGCGGGGGCGGCGAUAUGGAAGUAAUAAGUCACCGACGCCCACUUUAAUCUAAUAUAGAAAUACCUACGUGCAUAAAUUAAUACGACUACGUCUGCGAGGACAGCAUUAGAGCGAUCCGAAUGUACGAUAUGCUGCCCUUAGCAGGCGGCGCGUCCGAUUCUGAAGAGUUGUGGCACAUAUAUUAAUGAAAUUUAUGAAGGAACUCGCCCCAUCUGCUCGUGCGUUCACAAUUUAUAACAGAAAUAAAGUACCUACCAUAUUGAGAAAUAGGUACGAUGUCGCUCGAAUCGAAUUAUGCCCAAAGCCUUUCUUUGAUAUAGUUUAUAUCAUUCGGCCGACAUAUGUGAAAUGGUACGUUGCCGCAGCUGUAGACGGGCCUAUUUGUAGUAAAUGAGUAAAAAUAAGGCAAGUUGUGGUUUACCGAAAAUGUUCUGGGCACGAUGCUGUUGACUGCUUAUUUUGACAUUAUGUUCUAAUAAAUUAAUUAAUGUUGUAAAAUCGAGUGUUCAAUUGGAAUUGUGCCUUGCUAUAGAAAAAAAGAUCAUAAACAAGCAAAUUGGACGAUUCAAGGCUUCUUUGCCUAAC